rnacentral:lncRNA from 1 species
UUGUAGUAGAGAGAUUUUGCCUCAAAAAAGUACUAAGCCUUUGGCUACCACAAAUUAUUCAAACAAGUCAUAAUUUUAUAAAAUACAAGUAUCAUUUAUAGUUUGUCUUUAAAAAAAAAAUGACAUCAAAUAUAGAAGUCUAGAAUGUAGAAGAGUUCUCAAGAUGUGACUAGAUUUCCUAAAAAUUAUUUUUAUUCUUAUAAGAACCUCUUCCAAAUAUAUAUCACUCAAUAAUUUUUAAUCUAACCAUCUAAUUGGAUUCAAAAUUCUUAACAAGUUAAUUUAUAUCCUUAAUUGCCUCUAUAUAACAAAUUAGCCAUAAAUUCAUUACAAGUUUUUAUAUAUUAUGUA